GUGCUUGCUUUGGCAGCACAUAUACCAAAAUUGGAACGAUACAGAGAAGAUUAGCAUGGCUCCUGCACAAAAAUGACACACAAAUUCAUAAGCAUUCCAUAUUUUU
rnacentral:snRNA from 1 species